rnacentral:rRNA from 1 species
AUACGGAGGAUCCGAGCGUUAUCCGGAUUUAUUGGGUUUAAAGGGUGCGCAGGCGGCCAUUUAAGUCAGCGGUUAAAUCGUGGGGCUCAACCCCAUUCUGCCGUUGAUACUGGGUGGCUUGAUUGCGGUCGAGGUUGGCGGAAUUCGUUGUGUAGCGGUGAAAUGCAUAGAUAUGACGAAGAACACCGAUUGCGUAGGCAGCUGACCAGACCGCAAAUGACGCUCAUGCACAAAAGUGCGGGGAUCGAACAGGAUUAGAUACCCUGGUAGUCCGCACAGUAAACGAUGAAUACUUGUUUUCGGCGAUAUAAUGUCGGAGGCAAAGCGAAAGCGAUAAGUAUUCCACCUGGGGAGUACGCCGGCAACAGUGAAACUCAAAUGAAUUGACGGGG